AUGAACGCUAGCUACAGGCUUAACACAUGCAAGUCGAGGGGCAGCAUUUUAGUUUGCUUGCAAACUGAAGAUGGCGACCGGCGCACGGGUGAGUAACACGUAUCCAACCUGCCGAUAACUCCGGAAUAGCCUUUCGAAAGAAAGAUUAAUACCGGAUAGCAUACGAAUAUCGCAUGAUAUUUUUAUUAAAGAAUUUCGGUUAUCGAUGGGGAUGCGUUCCAUUAGUUUGUUGGCGGGGUAACGGCCCACCAAGACUACGAUGGAUAGGGGUUCUGAGAGGAAGGUCCCCCACAUUGGAACUGAGACACGGUCCAAACUCCUACGGGAGGCAGCAGUGAGGAAUAUUGGUCAAUGGGCGAGAGCCUGAACCAGCCAAGUAGCGUGAAGGAUGAAGGCUCUAUGGGUCGUAAACUUCUUUUAUAUGGGAAUAAAGUUUUCCACGUGUGAAAUUUUGUAUGUACCAUAUGAAUAAGGAUCGGCUAACUCCGUGCCAGCAGCCGCGGUAAUACGGAGGAUCCGAGCGUUAUCCGGAUUUAUUGGGUUUAAAGGGAGCGUAGGUGGAUUGUUAAGUCAGUUGUGAAAGUUUGCGGCUCAACCGUAAAAUUGCAGUUGAAACUGGCAGUCUUGAGUACAGUAGAGGUGGGCGGAAUUCGUGGUGUAGCGGUGAAAUGCUUAGAUAUCACGAAGAACUCCGAUUGCGAAGGCAGCUCACUAGACUGUCACUGACACUGAUGCUCGAAAGUGUGGGUAUCAAACAGGAUUAGAUACCCUGGUAGUCCACACAGUAAACGAUGAAUACUCGCUGUUUGCGAUAUACAGUAAGCGGCCAAGCGAAAGCAUUAAGUAUUCCACCUGGGGAGUACGCCGGCAACGGUGAAACUCAAAGGAAUUGACGGGGGCCCGCACAAGCGGAGGAACAUGUGGUUUAAUUCGAUGAUACGCGAGGAACCUUACCCGGGCUUAAAUUGCAACAGAAUAUAUUGGAAACAGUAUAGCCGUAAGGCUGUUGUGAAGGUGCUGCAUGGUUGUCGUCAGCUCGUGCCGUGAGGUGUCGGCUUAAGUGCCAUAACGAGCGCAACCCUUAUCUUUAGUUACUAACAGGUCAUGCUGAGGACUCUAGAGAGACUGCCGUCGUAAGAUGUGAGGAAGGUGGGGAUGACGUCAAAUCAGCACGGCCCUUACGUCCGGGGCUACACACGUGUUACAAUGGGGGGUACAGAAGGCGGCUACCUGGUGACAGGAUGCUAAUCCCAAAAACCUCUCUCAGUUCGGAUCGAAGUCUGCAACCCGACUUCGUGAAGCUGGAUUCGCUAGUAAUCGCGCAUCAGCCAUGGCGCGGUGAAUACGUUCCCGGGCCUUGUACACACCGCCCGUCAAGCCAUGAAAGCCGGGGGUACCUGAAGUACGUAACCGCAAGGAGCGUCCUAGGGUAAAACUGGUAAUUGGGGCU
rnacentral:rRNA from 1 species